UUGGAGUCAGCCAUGUGAAGAAAAAGAAAGGAGCAGGUUCACUGAGGCAGAAGAGAUUAGAAAACCAGGUGUGGACAAUGAACCUGCAAGCAGUUUGGAGUUGCUGAAGGACAAAGGGUGCUUCAGUAGCUGGAACAGUGGGCUGGGGCCUUAUAUACCAAGAAGGGCCCGAAGGUUUAUAACCUGGAGUUCAAAGUUGGGUUUCAGGACCCUUUUGACAGGCUCCCAAGACCAGCACUGGAAACGUCCUUUGUCACUCCUGGAUGGGGAGAAGGUGUGCUGAGGAGCGGAGGAGACCAGGCCAAAUGCAUCAUCUAAAUGUAAUCCAGUAACUGUCCUCGGUGCUCAUCCUAAGUGUUUGGCCACAUCGCAAAGCCCACAUGCUUCCCCACUGUGAUUUGCCGGUUUCAUAGUAUGAGAUUAUCCAUCCCUUCUCAAUAAUAUACCGAAAGAGCAAACCGCCAAUUAUACCGAUAUGGAGAAGCUAGGAUACAGUGAAUAACAGAUGGCAUUUACCACACUGAAUGGAGUUCAGCUAUGCUGCUGCUACACACUAAAAGAUGUCCUGCAAAGUGCUUGAUGGCAUCCCCACAGGGAGCAAGUAUAAGCUGGACCUUUGAUUAGGAAUCAUCUCUGCGAUCUGAAAUGCCUGUUGCCAUUUGCAACUCUGCCUCCUAGACUCGAGGUCAGCCUGGGCUCAGAAAGAUCAAUUUCACUCCAGAUAUUGUCAAGCUAUUCUGGCAUUUGUUGUGGUUUCGCAGCCAUCCACAAUAUUGGUUGUUUUAUCUUAUUAUGUAAGUGUUACUAAGUGAGACUAUUUGCUCAGUUACAAUCUAAAGGAUCAUGAUAUAAAUAAAAUAAUCUCAGUUUAAAUGCUCAGUAAAUUUUAUAUAACCUUACUUUUUCAAAACUUAUCCUUUAAAAAACUAAGUUAACAAUAGAAGGUUUAUUAUUAAUCCAUUGUUUAUUAAUUGGGAUAGUUUAACACAUCACAGGUGAUUUAAUCAGCUUCUCAUGUGGAUGAUAUAUUCAUAAUGAAGUCAAGGUACAUUAUGGCAUUGUAAUUUGUUAUUAUCAGAGGUCACUCAAUUCCCUUCAGUGCAAGGUACAGAUGAACUUGAUUAAAUAAUCAUCCCGUUAAAUCAAGCACUUGGGUGAUUAGUAAACUGGUGAUUUCAAUUAUAGCAACUCUCUUGCCAAGGAUAUAUAAAGGCAUAAAAGCCUAGGGAAAAAAUUAAAAACUAAACAUCUUCUGAAAUUUUUCAGUGUUUUCCUGUGCA